UACGGAGGGUGCGAGCGUUGUCCGGAAUCAUUGGGCGUAAAGGGCGCGUAGGUGGCGGCUUAAGCGUGCGGUGAAAGCUCGGGGCUCAACCCCGAGUCGGCCCGUGCGAACUGAGUCGCUUGAGCACUGUAGAGGCAGGGCGGAAUUCCGGGUGUAGCGGUGGAAUGCGUAGAGAUCCGGAAGAACACCGAUGGCGAAGGCAGGUCUCUGGGCCACUACGUGACGCUGAGAAGCGAAAGCAUGGGGAGCGAACAGG
rnacentral:rRNA from 1 species